GACAGAGGGUGCAAGCGUUGCUCGGAAUUACUGGGCGUAAAGCGCGUGUAGGCGGACCACCAAGUCAGGCGUGAAAUCCCUGGGCUCAACCCAGGAACUGCACCUGAAACUGGCGGUCUUGAGUGGUGGAGAGGGAAGCAGAAUUCCUGGUGUAGAGGUGAAAUUCGUAGAUAUCAGGAGGAACACCGGUGGCGAAGGCGGCUUCCUGGACACUAACUGACGCUGAGACGCGAAAGCGUGGGGAGCAAACAGG
rnacentral:rRNA from 1 species